rnacentral:rRNA from 1 species
UGUACCCGCGGCUAGACGGAAAGACCCCGUGAACCUUUACUACAGCUUGGCACUGAACAUUGAACCUACAUGUGUAGGAUAGGUGGGAGGCUAUGAAGACGUGACGCCAGUUGCGUUGGAGCCGUCCUUGAAAUACCACCCUUGUAUGUUUGAUGUUCUAACUUAGACCCAUUAUCUGGGUUGAGGACAGUGCCUGGUGGGUAGUUUGACUGGGGCGGUCUCCUCCCAAAGAGUAACGGAGGAGCACGAAGGUGGGCUAAUCACGGUUGGACAUCGUGAGGUUAGUGCAAUGGCAUAAGCCCGCUUAACUGCGAGAAUGACGGUUCGAGCAGGUGCGAAAGCAGGUCAUAGUGAUCCGGUGGUUCUGUAUGGAAGGGCCAUCGCUCAACGGAUAAAAGGUACUCCGGGGAUAACAGGCUGAUACCGCCCAAGAGUUCAUAUCGACGGCGGUGUUUGGCACCUCGAUGUCGGCUCAUCACAUCCUGGGGCUGAAGUCGGUCCCAAGGGUAUGGCUGUUCGCCAUUUAAAGUGGUACGCGAGCUGGGUUUAGAACGUCGUGAGACAGUUCGGUCCCUAUCUGCCGUGGGCGUUGGAAGAUUGAAGGGGGCUGCUCCUAGUACGAGAGGACCGGAGUGGACGAACCUCUGGUGUUCGGGUUGUGUCGCCAGACGCAUUGCCCGGUAGCUAAGUUCGGAAUUGAUAAGCGCUGAAAGCAUCUAAGCGCGAAGCGAGCCCUGAGAUGAGUCUUCCCUGACAGUUUAACUGUCCUAAAGGGUUGUUCGAGACUAGAACGUUGAUAGGCAGGGUGUGUAAGCGUUGUGAGGCGUUGAGCUAACCUGUACUAAUUGCCCGUGAGGCUUAACCAU